rnacentral:rRNA from 1 species
GAUGAACGCUAGCGGCAGGCUUAACACAUGCAAGUCGAGGGGUAGAAGUUGCUUGCAACUUUGAGACCGGCGCACGGGUGCGUAACGCGUAUGCAAUCUACCUUAUACAGAGGGAUAGCCCAGAGAAAUUUGGAUUAAUACCUCAUAGUAUAAUUGAAUGGCAUCAUUUAAUUAUUAAAGUUCCAACGGUAUAAGAUGAGCAUGCGUCCUAGUAGCUAGAUGGUAAGGCAACGGCUAACCAUGGCAACGAUAGGUAGGGGUCCUGAGAGGGAGCUCCCCCAAACCGAUACUGCGACACGGACCGGACUCCUACGGCAGGCAGCAUUGAGGAAUAUUGGACAAUGGGCGCAAGCCUGAUCCAGCCAGGCCGCGUGCAGGAAGAAGCAUCUAUGUUGUGUAAACUGCUUUUGUACGGGAAGAAACACCCCUUCGUGAAGGGACUUGACGGUACCGUAAGAAUAAGGAUCGGCUAACUCCGUGCCAGCAGCCGCCGUAACAC